rnacentral:sRNA from 1 species
GUGAGAGGCGGUAGCGGCGGCGGCGGCGGUGGUAUCGGCGGCAGCUGUGAGGGGGUUCCGGGAAGAUGGUGCUGAUCAAGGAAUUCCGUGUGGUUUUGCCAUGUUCUGUUCAGGAGUAUCAGGUUGGGCAGCUUUACUCUGUUGCAGAAGCUAGUAAGAAUGAGACUGGUGGUGGAGAAGGAAUUGAAGUCUUAAAGAAUGAACCUUAUGAGAAGGAUGGAGAAAAGGGACAGUAUACGCACAAAAUUUAUCACCUAAAGAGCAAAGUGCCUGCAUUCGUGAGGAUGAUUGCUCCCGAGGGCUCCUUGGUGUUUCAUGAGAAAGCCUGGAAUGCGUACCCCUACUGUAGAACAAUUGUAACGGUGAGUAAAACUAUUUUUGUGUCUCAUACUUUCUUUAUCUUUAAACUUUGUUUUACACAGUAAUUAUUUUCAACCAUUCUUUGCUAACUGCCCCUCGCUGCAUGGUUCCUUCCUGUGUCCCACCAACCAGCCGCCACACUCUACCACAUGUUCCCAGUGUUCAUGGGCCCUUUCCACCCUUGUCUCAAAAUCUCCCUAUUGAUUUUAUUUUGCUUUUGUUACUCCCUUCA